GCAAGCGUUAUCCGCAUUCACUGGGUUUAAAGGGUGCUUAGGCGGGUUGGUAAGUCAGUGGUGAAAUCUUCAAGCUUAACUUGGAAACUGCCGUUGAUACUAUCAAUCUUGAAUAUUGUGGAGGUAAGCGGAAUAUGUCAUGUAGCGGUGAAAUGCUUAGAUAUGACAUAGAACACCGAUAGCGAAGGCAGCUUGCUACACAGUAAUUGACGCUGAGGCACGAAAGCGUGGGGAUCAAACAGG
rnacentral:rRNA from 1 species